GAUGAACGCUGGCGGCGUGCUUAACACAUGCAAGUCGAACGGUGAAGCAGGAGCUUGCUCUUGUGGAUCAGUGGCGAACGGGUGAGUAACACGUGAGCAACCUGCCCCUGACGCUGGGAUAAGCGCUGGAAACGGCGUCUAAUACUGCAUAUGUGAUGUGACCGCAUGGUCUGCAUCUGGAAAGCAUUUGCGUUGGGGAUGGGCGCGCGGCCUAUCAGCUUGUUGGUGAGUUAAUGGCCCACCAAGGCGUCGACGGGUAGCCGGCCGGAGAGGGUGACCGGCCACACUGGGACUGAGACACGGCCCAGACUCCUACGGGAGGCAGCAGUGGGGAAUAUUGCACAAUGGGCGGAAGCCUGAUGCAGCAACGCCGCGUGAGGGAUGACGGCCUUCGGGUUGUAAACCUCUUUUAGCAGGGAAGAAGCGAAAGUGACGGUACCUGCAGAAAAAGCACCGGCUAACUACGUGCCAGCCGCCGCAGUAA
rnacentral:rRNA from 1 species